CCCCUCCUGUAAGAAUACUGCUGCUUCUCCCAGAGACCGGGACUUCCCAGGGAAAUAAUGGGGUAGUGGGGAAAGCUGCCCCCAGCGCUCUGAGAACUGGCUCAACAGGUCUCAGGGUAGUUAGACGGGCCACCUGGGUAGGUGACCAGCAGCUGUGUGGCCUCUGUUUUUCUCCCUCCUUCCUUUAUCUCUCUCAGGGUUCAUCAGCUCCCCAGAGUUUGCCUCAUGAGUGUCCUUCAAGAAUUGAUUCUUUCAGGAUCAAUUCAUCCAUCUCAACCCCAGCAUAUCCAGGCAGGGUCCUUCAUUUACUUGGUUCAUUUCUAUGUUCCCCUAGGCCUUGCUGUUUCAGAGCUAGAGCAACUUUCUGUGUAAUAAAACUCUCAGUCCCUCACCCACAACGUAUAUCAUGAAGUAGGCACAGUCAGAAGUGGUAACAGUUUCAGUGUUGUAAUACUAGAAAUCUCAACUCCCACUAGACAUAUCCGUACCUGGAGCUAUUUUUCUGGGGUUACAGGAAAGGGGAGUCCCCUCAUCCACUAGUUCCCAGAGUGGCAGCAGCACCACUCCUUAGCCCCACCUCCUUCUUAACCCCGGUGGCCCCAAAUCCCCUCUGAAAGGGUAAGGUUCAGGUAUCAGCAUAGCAGCCUAUAAGACUUGCAUUGGGGUGGGGAGGGUAUGGAAGGCUUAGAUCAAAUGUCCGGAGUGAGCCAGGACCAGAUUGUCCCCAACACAAAAUACUGGGAAGUAGCACCAUAGACUGUGCCAUUUUGGAUUAGACCAGCCCCAGGCAUGAACUAAGUCCACAGCCCUUGGAUUAGUCAUGGAACUGAAGAGAAGACAGAGCACAGGGCUGUGCCUGGCAGGGAGUCUGGAGUUUCUGGUUUUGGUGUGAGCCAGGGGAGGGGCCUCCAUGUAGGGGGAGGGCGGGAAACUAGGGCUGGGCCCCAGUCGGCUAUGCAAGGCUGUGCAAUCAGGCAGCACAAAACAGAAUCCAACAGCUUCCUGAAACUCAGGAGUGGACACCACAGCUUUGACCACCUAAGGCACCUGCUCCAAAGCUUGUAACUCCGUUUGUCAUUCUGAGGUCUGCUUAUCCUGUACCGCAAGGAUGGAGCCAGUGCUAGGCGUAAAAAUUGGCUGCCUCUUUGCCCUGCUGGUUCUUACGCUGGUCUGUGGCCUUAUUCCCAUCUGCUUCAAAUGGUUCCAGAUUGAGGCAGCCAGAGGUCGUCACCGCCAGGUCCUCAGCCUCCUGGGCUGCGUUUCUGCCGGUAUUUUCCUGGGAGCAGGUUUCAUGCACAUGACUGCUGAAGCCCUGGAGGGAAUUGAGUCGGAGAUCCGGAAGGUCAUGAUGCAGAACAGGACAGAGAGUGGGGGAAAUUCUUCUGGAGAUGCUGAUUCAGCUUCUACAGACUAUCCCUAUGGAGAGCUCAUCAUCUCCCUGGGCUUCUUCCUCGUCUUCUUUUUGGAGUCGCUGGCAUUGCAGUGCUGUCCUGGAGCCCACGGAGGAUCAAAAGUGCAGGAGGAGGAAGUGGGUGGGGCUCAUGUCCUUGGACUCCACAGCCAUGGAUCUCUACCCUCACCCUCACAGAGUCCCUUUCGAGCCCUCAUCCUUUUGCUCUCUCUCUCCUUCCACUCGGUGUUUGAAGGUCUGGCUGUGGGGCUGCAGACAACAGUAGUAGCCACCGUGCAGCUCUGUCUUGCUGUCCUGGCUCACAAGGGGCUCAUAGUGUUUGGUGUAGGGCUGCGGCUGGUGCAGGUAGGCACUGCGUCACGAUGGGCCGUGUUCUGCAUACUGUCAUUUGCUCUCAUGUCCCCCCUGGGCGUAGCCAUAGGGCUGGCUGUGGCUGGAGGGGACUCAGAAGAGGGGCACGGCUUAGCCCAGGCUGUGUUAGAGGGUGUUGCAGCUGGUACCUUCCUGUAUGUCACCUUCCUAGAAAUUCUGCCCAGGGAGCUAGCUGCUCCUGAGGCCCCUCUGCUCAAGUGGGGCUGUGUAGCCGCUGGUUUUGCCUUCAUGGCCUUAAUUGCCUUGUGGGCCUGAGAGAUUCCUGACUUUUUGAUGGAUCCAGGAGACACAUCCCUAAAGGCUUUGGUCCUCAGACAUUUCUCCGCUGAGACUAAGUGGCACUCACUGGGCAUCAUCCCCGUGAACUGGAUCCCAGCCUCUCCUGCGUGAGAUCCCACUGCUCAUCCAGGACUGAGAAAGGGGCGUUUAUUUUAGGUUGAGUGCCUAUACUUUGGAGAAUUGAUAUAAAGACCAUCACUGCAGAUUUGACUCUUGUUCCACUUUUGCUACUGUGUGUAAUAAAUGUCCAUUUUACCCUCCCCCUUCAAGCAUGCUAUAGUUCCUUUCUCCAGGUUACCCAACUGCUGCCUAGUGGAGCAGGAAGUGGGGAGGGUGAGUGUUGGAUGCAGUCUUUUCUUCUGGAAUCAGAGCCCCUAGCCAUUGUGUCACUUGCAGCCAUGUCCCCCAGACAUGGGAGCAUUGCUGAAAUUCCAACAGCCCGCUCCCACCUUACCCACAGGUGUUGAGAUCCUGAGCCAGAGUUCCCAGCAUUUAGAGAAGAGGUUUAAAAACAGAAACAGUGGGGAUCUAGAUUUUUUUCUACACUAACCACACCUACCCCACUCCCAGCCACCCACAUGUCCAACAAACUCUUCAGAUCAGGCUCAAUGGAGCCUACUCCACCUGGUUUCUAUUUUUCAUACUGAGUCCUGUGUGGCUUCAGGGACACGAUUGCUCUUUGAGCCUCUGUCUCAUUCCAGCUACCUUGUGCUGCGGGAUUAAGAAGCAGUGUGUUUGGAAAGAGAGAAAGGCGCCAGAUAAAUUCCAAGGGUGAUUACUUGGCUCUGCUGAGACAUGGUGGCUUUCCUUCUGCCUGCCCUACCUGCCACUAUGCCUCCGGUCCCUCCCCAGUGGGCCAUUUGCCUUUCAGGCGAGUAACCCCUACAAUGUGCUGCUCCUCUUAAAAACUGCACAAAUAAAACAACUGGUUAUCUGGAACUGAGGAGGAGCAGGACGGCUAUGACCCAACGAGGUGGAGGAAAGUCUCAGACUUGGUGGAGGGACAGGGAAAGAGGAGGUGUGCCCUGUGAGCUCAGGCACCCUCACCAUUUUGCCCCUUCAAAUACUUUCAGUGUAGAAGCUCAAGUGGCCUUAACAUGGGCAAGGUCUCCUCAGUUCCAUUCUCAUCUCACUUCAUUCCUGUCUUCUGUCCUUCCCAUUCCCCUUCCCACAAAUUCAGAAUAGAAACCUCCUCACCAGCCCAGCUCACGCACCCAGGGAUCAGUGAGAAGCCAAGCUAAAGGCAAAGCUAAAUAAAAAUGAUGAGGAAGUAAUUUCCCUGAAGCGCCAUCCUAUUCUGCUUCCCUUCAGUGCUAAAUGCACUCACACGUAACACAGAACAGGGCCUAGUAUGUUGUCAUGAUGAUAGAGUUUCCACAUGGAGCAUCUGCUAUGUGCCAGGAACUCUACUGUAGCUUCCACAUAUAUUAUCUCACCUUCCCAACCCUGCCAGGUAGAUAUUAUUCCCAUAGAAAGUCCAGGGAA